UACAGAGGGUGCGAGCGUUAAUCGGAAUUACUGGGCGUAAAGGGCCAGUAGGCGGCCAACUAAGUCCGACGUGAAAUCCCCAGCUUAACCUGGGAACUGCGUCGGAUACUGGAUGGCUUGAAUUCGGGAGAGGGAUGCAGAAUUCCAGGUGUAGCGGUGAAAUGCGUAGAUAUCUGGAGGAAUACCGGUGACGAAGGCGGCAUCCUGGACCGACAUUGACGCUGAACGGCGAAAGCUAGGGGAGCAAACGGG
rnacentral:rRNA from 1 species